CCCUUAGAUGUUCUGGGCUGCACGCGCGCUACACUGAUGCGCUCAACGAGUUUAUGACCUUGCCCGGAAGGGUUGGGUAAUCUUUUCAAAACGCAUCGUGAUGGGGAUAGAUUAUUGCAAUUAUUAAUCUUCAACGAGGAAUUCCUAGUAAGCGCGAGUCAUCAGCUUGCGUCGAUUACGUCCCUGCCCUUUGUACACACCGCCCGUCGCUCCUACCGAUUGGGUGUGCUGGUGAAAUGUUCGGAUCGGCCGUUUGUCGCGGUUUCCGCGUCAUGUGGCUGAGAAGUUCAUUAAACCCUCCCACCUAGAGGAAGGAGAAGUCGUAACA
rnacentral:rRNA from 1 species